CCUACGGGUGGCAGCAGUGAGGAAUAUUGGUCAAUGGCCGGAAGGCUGAACCAGCCAUGCCGCGUGAAGGUCAGUGCCCUUUGGGCGUUAAACUUCUUUUGUGCGGGAGCAAUAAUGGUCACGUGUGGCCAGACGAGAGUACCGUACGCAUAAGCAUCGGCUAACUCCGUGCCAGCAGCCGCAGUGAUACGGGGGAUGCAAGCGUUAUCGGGAUUAAUUGGGUUUAAAGGGUGCGUAGGCUGGGAGGUAAGUCAGAGGGGAAAUGCCCCGGCUCAACGGGGGGAAGUGCCAUUGAUACUGGCUUGCUGGAAUGCGGAUGCGGUGGGAGGAAUGUGAGGUGUAGCGGUGAAAUGCAUAGAUAUC
rnacentral:rRNA from 1 species